rfam:Fervidicola ferrireducens strain Y170 AN618_contig000073, whole genome shotgun sequence.
CAUAGGCAUGGGAGGCGAUACCGGGGGAACUGAAACAUCUUAGUACCCCGAGGAAAAGAAAGCAAGAGCGAUUCCCUGAGUAGCGGCGAGCGAAAGGGGAGUAGCCCAAACCCAUCAUGUGUGAAAGGCCGUCGCCGUUGCAUGAUGGGGGUUGAGGGAGUGCCGAGCCUGACGACGGUAGGGCGAGGCGAGCUGGAUGGGUAGCCGAACGCCGCUGGAAAGCGGGGCCAUAGAAGGUGAAAGCCCUGUAGGCGAAACUCAGAAGGCCGCCUGGCACAUCCCGAGUACCACGGGACACGAGGAAUCCCGUGGGAAGCAGGGAGGACCAUCUCCCAAGGCUAAAUACCACCUUGCGACCGAUAGCGCAUAGUACCGUGAGGGAAAGGUGAAAAGAACCCCGGGAGGGGAGUGAAAUAGAACCUGAAACCGUGUGUCUACAAGCAGAGGGAGCGUCAAGCGACCUCGUACUUUUUGCAGAACGGACCGGCGAGUUACCGUACCAAGCGAGGUUAAGGGGCUAAAGCUCCGGAGCCGUAGCGAAAGCGAGUCCGAAUAGGGCGUGAGUUUGGUGCGGUAGACCCGAAACCGCGUGAUCUACCCAUGGCCAGGGUGAAGCGGGACUAAACUCCCGUGGAGGCCCGAACCAUGUUGACGUUGAAAAGUCAUGGGAUGAGCUGUGGGUAGGGGUGAAAUGCCAAUCGAACGCGGAGAUAGCUGGUUCUCCCCGAAAUAGCUUUAGGGCUAGCCUCAGCUGGACCUGGCCGGAGGUAGAGCACUGACUGGGCUAGGGGCCGAGAGGUUACCGAACCCUAUCAAACUCCGAAUGCCGGCCAGAGGGUAGCUGGGAGUCAGACUGUGGGGGAUAAGCUUCACAGUCGAGAGGGGAACAGCCCAGACCGUCAGCUAAGGUCCCGAAGUAAGCCUAAGUGGGGAAGGAUGUGGCACUGCGAAGACAGCCAGGAUGUUGGCUUAGAAGCAGCCAUCAUUUAAAGAGUGCGUAACAGCUCACUGGUCUAGCGGUGCUGCGCCGAAAAUGUAACGGGGCUGAAGGCUUACACCGAAGCUGCGGAUGGUGGCCGAAAGGUCACUGUGGUAGGGGAGCGUUCCUACUGGGCGGAAGCAUAACCGUAAGGUUAUGUGGACUGGUAGGAAGUGAGAAUGUCGGUAUAAGUAGCGAGAGGCAGGUGAGAAUCCUGCCCGCCGGAAGCCUAAGGUUUCCUGAGGAAGGCUCGUCCACUCAGGGUUAGCCGGGACCUAAGCCGAGGCAUGGUAAUGCGUAGGCGAUGGAGAACGGGUAGAUAAUCCCGUGCCACCUGAGGCCGUUUGAGCGAAGGGGUGACGCAGGAGGGUAGGCCGAGCGCGCGGUUGGUAGAGCGCGUCCAAGCCCAAAGGCAAGCCGGACAGGCAAAUCCGUCUGGUGGUGCUGAAGGGUGAUGGGGAGGGAAGGUGAGUACCGAAGCGGCUGAACCCACACUGCCGAGAAAAGCCUCUAGCGAGGCCGAAGGUGCCCGUACUGCAAACCGACACAGGUAGGCGAGGAGAGAAUCCACAGGCGAGCGGGAGAACCCUCGUUAAGGAACUCGGCAAACUGACCCCGUAACUUCGGGAGAAGGGGUGCCCUAGUAGCUGGCUGCGGAAGCAGUUGGUGAACGGGUCGCAGGGAAUCGGCCCAAGCGACUGUUUAGCAAAAACACAGGUCUCUGCUAAGGAGGAAUCCGACGUAUAGGGGCUGACGCCUGCCCGGUGCUGGAAGGUUAAGGGGAGGGGUUAGCCGGAAGGCGAAGCUCUGAACCGAAGCCCCAGUGAACGGCGGCCGUAACUAUAACGGUCCUAAGGUAGCGAAAUUCCUUGUCGGGUAAGUUCCGACCCGCACGAAAGGCGUAACGACUUGGGCGCUGUCUUGACGAGGGGCCCGGCGAAAUUGUAGUAUGAGUGAAGAUGCUCAUUACCCGCAGCUGGACGGAAAGACCCCGUGGAGCUUUACUGCAGCCUGAUAUUGGAUUUCG